rnacentral:rRNA from 1 species
UGGGGAAUCUUGGACAAUGGGGGCAACCCUGAUCCAGCCAUGCCGCGUGAGUGAUGAAGGCCUUAGGGUCGUAAAGCUCUUUCGCCUGUGAAGAUAAUGACGGUAGCAGGUAAAGAAACCCCGGCUAACUCCGUGCCAGCAGCCGCGGUAAUACGGAGGGGGUUAGCGUUGUUCGGAAUUACUGGGCGUAAAGCGCACGUAGGCGGACCAGAAAGUUGGGGGUGAAAUCCCGGGGGGCCAUCCAACCCCGGUAACUGCCAUCCAAACUAUUGGUCUAGAGGUUCGAGAGAGGUGAGUGGAAUUCCAAGUGUAGAGGUGAAAUUCGUAGAUAUUUGGAGGAACACCAGUGGCGAAGGCGGCUCACUGGCUCGAUACUGACGCUGAGGGUGCGAAAGUGUGGGGAGCAAAACAGGAUUAGAUACCCUGGUAGUCCCACACCGUAAAACGAUGAAUGCCAGUCGUCGGGGUAGCAUGCUAUUCGGUGACACACCUAACGGAUUAAGCAUUUCCGGCCUGGGGGAGUACGGUCGCAAGAUU